rnacentral:rRNA from 1 species
UACGAAGGGGCUAGCGUUGCUCGGAAUCACUGGGCGUAAAGCGCACGUAGGCGGAUUGCUAAGUCAGGGGUGAAAUCCUGGAGCUCAACUCCAGAACUGCCUUUGAUACUGGCGACCUUGAGUCCGGGAGAGGUGAGUGGAACUGCGAGUGUAGAGGUGAAAUUCGUAGAUAUUCGCAAGAACACCAGUGGCGAAGGCGGACUCACUGGCCCGGUACUGACGCUGAGGUGCGAAAGCGUGG